GUCUAUGGCCAUGCCACCCUGAAUGUGUCUGAUCUCGGAAGCUAAGCAGGGUCGGCCCUGGUUAGUACUUGGAUGGGAUUCCACCUAGGAAUAACAGGUGCUGUAAGCG
rnacentral:rRNA from 1 species